rnacentral:SRP_RNA from 1 species
GCCAGGUGUGGUGGCGCACACCUGUAGUCCCAGCUACUUAGGAGGCUGAGGCAGAAGAAUCGCUUGAACCCAGGAGGCAGAGGUUGCAGUGAGCCGAGAUCAUGUCACUGCACUCCAGCCUGGGCGACAGAGUGAGACUCUGUCUCAA